CGUAGGGCGCAAGCGUUGUCCGGAAUUAUUGGGGCGUAAAAGAGCUCGUAGGCGGUUUGUCGCGUCUGCUGUGAAAAGCCCCGGGGCUUAACCCCCGGGUGUGCAGUGGGUACGGGGCAGACUAGAGUGCAGUAGGGGAGACUGGAAUUCCUGGUGUAGCGGUGGAAUGCGCAGAUAUCAGGGGGGAACACCGAUGGCGAAGGCAGGUCUCUGGCUGUACUGACGCUGAGGAGCGAAAGCAUGGGGGAGCGAACAGGAUU
rnacentral:rRNA from 1 species